rnacentral:rRNA from 1 species
CCUACGGGUGGCUGCAGUGAGGAAUAUUGGUCAAUGGGCGAGAGCCUGAACCAGCCAAGUCGCGUGAAGGAUGACGGCCCUACGGGUUGUAAACUUCUUUUGUCAGGGAGCAAUUGAGUCCACGUGUGGGCUUAGCGAGAGUACCUGAAGAAAAAGCAUCGGCUAACUACGUGCCAGCAGCCGCGGUAAUACGGAGGAUGGGAGCUUUAUCCGGAUUUAUUGGGUUAAAGGGGUGCGUAGGCGGAAUAUCAAGUCAGCGGUAAAAAUUCGGGUCUCAACCCCGUCGUGCCGUUGAAACUGAUGUUCUUGAGUGGGCGAGAGGUAUGCGGAAUGCGUGGUGUAGCGGUGAAAUGCAUAGAUAUCACGCAGAACUCCGAUUGCGAAGGCAGCAUACCGG